GAACUUUCAAGUGUUUCCACCAUGACCUGGACUCCAGUUCUCCUCACUUUCCUUGCUCACUGCACAGGAUCUUGGGCUGAGGUUGUAUUCACCCAGCCCCAAUUUGUGUCAGGAUCCUUGGGGCAGAAGAUCACCAUCUCCUGUACCCGCAGCACUGGGAACAUUGAAAGUAAUUAUGUAUACUGGUACCAGAAGCAUUCAGCAAGUACACCCCGUCUGCUCAUCUACAAUUAUGAUCAAAGACCCUCUGGGGUUCCAGAUAGGUUCUCUGGAUCCAAGGACAGAUCUUCCAACUCUGGCAUCUUAACUAUCUCCGGACUGCAGGCUGAGGAUGAAGCUGACUACCACUGUCUGUCUGGCUAUGACAACUAUUUCACACAGAGCUUCAGACUUAUGGGGAACUGA